rnacentral:rRNA from 1 species
GUUGAACGCUGGCGGCAGGCCUAACACAUGCAAGUCGAGCGGAUGAAGGGAGCUUGCUCCUGGAUUCAGCGGCGGACGGGUGAGUAAUGCCUAGGAAUCUGCCUGGUAGUGGGGGAUAACGUCCGGAAACGGGCGCUAAUACCGCAUACGUCCUGAGGGAGAAAGUGGGGGAUCUUCGGACCUCACGCUAUCAGAUGAGCCUAGGUCGGAUUAGCUAGUUGGUGGGGUAAAGGCCUACCAAGGCGACGAUCCGUAACUGGUCUGAGAGGAUGAUCAGUCACACUGGAACUGAGACACGGUCCAGACUCCUACGGGAGGCAGCAGUGGGGAAUAUUGGACAAUAGGCGAAAGCCUGAUCCAGCCAUGCCGCGUGUGUGAAGAAGGUCUUCGGAUUGUAAAGCACGUUAAGUUGGGAGGAAGGGCAGUAAGUUAAUACCUUGCUGUUUUGACGUUACCAACAGAAUAAGCACCGGCUAACUUCGUGC